UGCCCAUUAUAGCUAUAUUUUUUACAUUUCAAACCGUUCGCGCUCGACAAAUACUUCGGACGUUAUCAAUUUUUGUGAAUUAUCGAAGUGAUUGUAAUACUUUAACAGUUACUCUGCGGAAAAAAAACUCAAGCGGCAAAACCAAGGAACUCCAUUGAUGAUUCAUGCGACAGAUAGCCUAACGUAAACCUACGUCAACUAUGCGAUCGUGUCUCGGACACAACCUUCUGUGACUUUUCUUCAUUCAGAAUGGAUUCAGAUUCAACUUCAAACAAAUGAUCACUGAAUCAACGAUAGUCCUACGUCACCAUUGCGGUUAUACCAUAGAUAUAACCCACUUCCUGUUUUUGUUUUCCAAAAGUGCUAUAGUGGUAUUUCUGCUCGUGAAGGGAAAAAAUUGAAAAUUUUCGGAAAAAGAAACAUUAUAGUGCGAAACGGAGAAAAAAGUCACAAUGCAGUAUUAUUGCGCAGUGAAAGGAUGUGGAAACAAGGCUCUAUUUACCAAAAAUUGAUCCGGACAUUGUUUAUCACUCUUUUCCAAAAAGCGGAGAGAGAUUAGACAGAUGAAUUAAUUACUGUGGCCAAUCAGAAAACUGGAAACCUCUGAAAAACCAGGGUAUCUGCUCGCGACAUUUUCAUGCAAGCAGUUAUGAUGAGCGGUAUCGGAUACGUUAUCAGCUUAUUGGUGCGAAGCAAUAGCAUGAUUGACAUUGUUUUUAAGCCAUUCCCACAAUACAUCACUCGAAUUUUCCUAGUGAGACCAUUGCAUGUUCCCUGGAUGUCGUGACCUCUGAAGAUCACAAAAAUCCAUCAAUUGAAUUAUAUUCCUUACAAAAUCGAACUAAUAUGUUGACACAAAAUAUAAACAAUCUACAAGAGACCCAUGAUGUUUUGCGACAAAUCGAUAAUACACUAAUGGAAAAGAAAAUGAAUGCACACAAUAUGUUGAUUGAUUUAAAUAGUGCUCGCAAACGAUUGCUGGCUCUCAAUGAUCAUAUAUUGCAACUUGAAAAGGAGAACGAGAAAAUAAAUGAAAGAGCUAGAUUUAUUUCCGAUAGAAAACACCACGAAGAGUACAAAUGCUUUAGAUCAGAUGAUAACACGAAUAGGAAACUGGAAAAAAUAAGGAUGGAGAUAAGUUUAAUUGCUGAUGCGUUAGGGCUUAAUCCUGAAAACGUAACAAUCAACAACAAUCGAUGUCAGGUAAGGAAAAAAAAACUUUGAAAAUAUUAUUCCGUUACAGUUCUGCUGAAUUUUAGUACUUUUCUUCGGAUACCUUACAUCAAAGUUUAGACAUACUGUUGGUCAACCACAGCGAUUAUUUUAUUCCACAAUCUAUUUAUGUCUGCAACAUCUCAAGUCACUUUGGCGCCCUUCUUCAAUUUGCGCUUGACAAUUGUCCAAUAUUUUCUGAUUGUGUUUUCAAGCGCGUCUUUUGGCCACCAGAUUUUGCUUCAGCGUGAUGUUUGUUUGCUAGCAGGCAAAUCUGGUUAGAUUUGUGUUUUAUGGCGAUGUCUUAGUUCGAGAGUCCCUGGUUUGCGCAUUAAUUAUUCUCAAUACUUUCAACUUCAGCUCCAGAUAGUAAGUUCCACUGCGACGUGUCUUCUAAUCCAUCCAAAUAAUAGUUGUACGUUCACGGAAAAGUUUCAGCACAUUAUACACGGUCAAUUUAGCCAUCUUCAGCGAUUUCACGAUUUUAGUACCUGACCACGCAGGAUUCUCAAUGUGGGUGUCCAAAAUAAAAAUUUCUUUUCUCGGCAUCCGUCCUCCACAAUUUUUUCAAGAAAAAAAAGUGAAAUUUUUACCGUCGAAAAAUACAGGUUCCAAAAAAAUUGGUAUCAAAAAAAUUCAGAAACGCCUACUAUGACCGCUGCUAUAAAGCGAACAUUGGUUUCGGAUUCUAACUGAAUCAAACCUUGGUGUUCACAUAAAUAAUGGAAGCGAAGCUGAGACGAGUUAAGCUACAUGUGUUUCCACAUUAGUAUGCCCAAUUGUCCUAAGAAGUAGACAGCCGGUGCUGUCGAGCAGAGGAACUAUUCCUUCAGACGUUAAAGUUUGAUGCCACGGGUAGGUCGAUACAUUCCAAUCUAAAGAGAAAAUAUUGAUGCAUGAAGAUCAGAAAAUACAGACACCGAUAGUGUCUGUAAAUAUAAUUCACAUUUUACGUGUCUAUACUUUCAUCAAUGUCUUAACAAUGAUUAAUGAUAACAAUCGUAUACAGUUUCCCUUACAUACUAUCAAUUUUGAAUGAGUGUUUUUUCUCUGUGAUUUUAGAGAGUUCACAUGAAAACAACUAUAACUUUUGUUUUGUUUCAGUUGAGUAUCCAGAGUGGUGCGGAAGAAAUGCGAGUGGUGCGAAGAGAAAUCGUUCUUGAAAAUAAUGAAAAUUUCCUUAAACGUACGCAUUUCAAUGUUUUUUUUUUCUUUUCACUAAUUUAUUUCGAAUUUAUAUGUAUGUCAUCAACGCUUAUAUCGGGAUUUACGGUGAAUCUAUAUCAGUGAAAAUAUUUUCAAUCCCAAAACUUUAGAUAUUCAACGCUUCAAGUAUAUACGAACACUUCUUCAUCGUUUUUUUUUUUCAGUUACAACUAUAAUUCCGCAUCAUCGAAAUUUGCAACUGAUACAAAAGCAACUUGAAAAAUCCGGAGAUUUAGUUGGUUUCAUUGCUUCUUUGUACAACUAUAAUCUAUGAAUGAAAAUACACGUUCACUUUUCGGUUCUUAUGUAUUUCAACUCCGUAUGUCAGCAA